CAAUAGCGUAUAUUAACGUUGUUGCAGUUAAAAAGCUCGUAGUUGGAUUUCUGGAGGGAGCGUCGGCCCGUAUUUACGAGUGCGUGACGUCUCUGUCCAUCCUUGCGGGAAGGCACGGCAUUGAUUUGUUGUGUCGGAUCGCAUCAUUUACUGUGAAAAAAUUAGAGUGUUCAAAGCAGGCUUUCGCUUGAACACAUUAGCAUGGAAUAAUAAGAUAGGACUUUGGUGCUAUUUUGUUGGUUGAGCCUAAAGUAAUGAUUAAUAGGGAUAGUUGGGGGCACCUGUAUUGCGUUGUCAGAGGUGAAAUUCUUGGAUUUACGCAAGACAAACAGCUGCGAAAGCGUCUGCCAAGGAUGUUUUCAUUGA
rnacentral:rRNA from 1 species